GGGCGGGUCGCAUAGUUGGUCUAGUGCGCAUCACUGGAAAUGAUGUAGGGCCUCUAAAGCCCUCGUGGGUUCGAAUCCCACCCCGCCCGCCA
rnacentral:tRNA from 1 species